rnacentral:rRNA from 1 species
UACGUAGGGUGCGAGCGUUAAUCGGAAUUACUGGGCGUAAAGCGUGCGCAGGCGGUAAGUUAAGUCUGAUGUGAAAGCCCCGGGCUCAACCUGGGAAUGGCAUUGGAAACUGGCUUGCUGGAGUGUGGCAGAGGGGGGUGGAAUUCCGCGUGUAGCAGUGAAAUGCGUAGAGAUCGGGAGGAACACCAGUGGCGAAGGCGGCUACCUGGACCAGCACUGACACUGAAGCACGAAAGCGUGGGGAGCAAACAGG